CCACCAAGAGUUAAAAUCAUGAAGCUGCGGAGCACCCCGGAGGCUAGAGAGACCCGGCCCCGCUUCCAAACUAUGCUCCUCCUUUUAACUUCCGGGCGGGGCAAGAUUUCCGGUUCCCGCGCGGCGCUCCAAAGCUCGGGGAGUGGUGGUCUCCCUUUUCCCGGAGUCAGUUGUGGGAGUUAGGGUCUUAUUCUGAUCUUCCCUCGUACCCCGCUCCCCCGUCCUCCGAGGUGGCACUUGCGCAGAAUGGAGACUGAAGUGUACCCAGAGACCCAAAGAAAUACAGACGUCCAGAAUGAUCAAGUGAGAUCACUACCCAAUGAAACGGUGGGCCGAGGAGCCAGAAGUUGUCCUACUACCUGCUUUCCAGGUCCAGAUUCCAUGGGAGCCUUCUGGGCUCCCACCAGAGAGCCUCAGUGAAGACUCUGUUGAAGACUUUAAAACCAUGCUAGAAAGCCUCCAGAGGUUCAGGAAGUUCCGCUAUGAGGAUGCAGCUGGCUCCAGGGAUGUCCUCAGGCAUCUCCGGGACCUUUCUGGUUGGUGGUUGAGACCUGAUAUUCACACAAAGAAGCAGAUUGUGGGAAUGCUGGUGCAGGAGCAAUUCCAGGCUGUCCUGCCCGAGGAGCUCAGAGCUCAAGCACAGAGAUGUCAGCCUGGAAUCAGAAUCACUGGCUAAGUCUUGCUGCUUGCUUCUUGCUCAGCCUACAUAUGAGAUGUCAACCUAAGCGUUCUCUUGGAUGCAAGAUUCAACUCACCUGUGGGAAAUCUGAACUUCCACUUUCUUUGAGCUUGUCUUUGACUGGUUGUAAUAAGAAUCCAUCAAAACCCAUGUUUGGAUCUCUUUUUCGCUGAGGCAGCUUUAUUUCCUACGGAAAGAGUUUCUCUGUCCUCGUUAGGACAAUCAGCCUGCUGCUUUGGGCUUUUCCAAGAGCCUAUUUUUCAUCUGCUGGAUGCCUCUUUUUUUGCACUUUGUGACAUGCUUUAAUAUAUUGUUUUUAUGUAUCCAAAGAGGUAAUCAGCUUUAACUUUCAGAAUUCGUGAAUCUUGGUUUGGUGGCAUGAAUGAAAGCUUAUGUAACCCCACCAGUAACUCAUUUGGGGUGCCCUUGAAAUAUUAAAGUUUGGUCCUCAAUAAA